rnacentral:rRNA from 1 species
GUGUCAGCCGCCGCGGUAAUACAGAGGGUGCAAGCGUUAAUCGGAAUCACUGGGCUUAAAGCGUUCGUAGGCGGGCUUGCAGGCACUUUGUGAAAGCCCCCGGCUCAACCGGGGAACUGCUUGGUGAACCUCAAGUCUUGAGUCAAGUAGGGGCGGUCGGAACGAUAGGUGGAGCGGUGAAAUGCGUAGAUAUCUAUCGGAACGCCGAAGGUGAAGACAGGCCGCUGGGCUUGAACUGACGCUGAGGAACGAAAGCGUGGGGAGCAAACGGGAUUAGAUACCCUUGUAGUCC